AUUGAACGCUGGCGGCAUGCCUUACACAUGCAAGUCGAACGGCAGCACGGGUGCUUGCACCUGGUGGCGAGUGGCGAACGGGUGAGUAAUACAUCGGAACAUGUCCUGUAGUGGGGGAUAGCCCGGCGAAAGCCGGAUUAAUACCGCAUACGAUCUACGGAUGAAAGCGGGGGACCUUCGGGCCUCGCGCUAUAGGGUUGGCCGAUGGCUGAUUAGCUAGUUGGUGGGGUAAAGGCCUACCAAGGCGACGAUCAGGAGCUGGUCUGAGAGGACGACCAGCCACACUGGGACUGAGACACGGCCCAGACUCCUACGGGAGGCAGCAGUGGGGAAUUUUGGACAAUGGGCGAAGGCCUGAUCCAGCAAUGCCGCGUGUGUGAAGAAGGCCUUCGGGUUGUAAAGCACUUUUGUCCGGAAAGAAAUCCUUGGCCCUAAUACGGUCGGGGGAUGACGGUACCGGAAGAAUAAGCACCGGCUAACUACGUG
rnacentral:rRNA from 1 species